rnacentral:rRNA from 1 species
AUGGGAACUCUCGGCUCGAAACAAUCCUUAUGGUUUUUAUAUCCGGUUAGAAUAAUAAGAAAGAAUCAAAGUCCAGGUUGGUUGGUGAGCCUAGUGAUAGGAGACUAUCUAGCUUGGUUCGGAGAGCACUUGUUGGGUUUCAGAUUCGUUUUUGCUAAAUGUUACGGCCUAAAUGCUGAACUAUUGACCCAACUUGUUCGGAUGGGUGUUCACCCCAAAGUAUUCCCGGACUGCAUGCAUACAUCCAUAAGUAACUUAGUGCAACAUGGCAAAUUUCAUUGA